UACGUAGGGGGCAAGCGUUGUCCGGAUUUACUGGGCGUAAAGAGCGUGUAGGCGGCCAAACAGGUCCGUUGUGAAAACUGGAGGCUCAACUUCCAGACGUCGACGGAAACCGUGUGGCUAGAGUCCGGAAGAGGAGAGUGGAAUUCCUGGUGUAGCGGUGAAAUGCGCAGAUAUCAGGAAGAACACCAAUGGCGAGGGCAGCUCUCUGGGGCGGUACUGACGCUGAGACGCGAAAGCGUGGGGAGCGAACAGG
rnacentral:rRNA from 1 species